rnacentral:rRNA from 1 species
UACGUAGGGUGCGAGCGUUAAUCGGAAUUACUGGGCGUAAAGCGUGCGCAGGCGGUUUGUAAGUACAGGCGUGAAAUCCCCGGGCUCAACCUGGGAAUGGCGCUUGUGACUGCAAAGCUGGAGUGCGGCAGAGGGGAUGGAAUUCCGCGUGUAGCAGUGAAAUGCGUAGAUAUGCGGAGGAACACCGAUGGCGAAGGCAAUCCCCUGGGCCUGCACUGACGCUCAUGCACGAAAGCGUGGGGAGCAAACAGG